rnacentral:rRNA from 1 species
AGAGUUUGAUCCUGGCUCAGGAUGAACGCUGGCGGCGUGCUUAACACAUGCAAGUCGAACGAAGAUGCCGGAGUGCUUGCACUUUGGCAGACUGAGUGGCGGACGGGUGAGUAACGCGUGGGUAACCUGCCUUAUACAGGGGGAUAACAGUUGGAAACGACUGCUAAUACCGCAUAAGCGCACGGUAUCGCAUGAUACAGUGUGAAAAACUCCGGUGGUAUAAGAUGGACCCGCGUCUGAUUAGCUUGUUGGUGAGGUAACGGCUCACCAAGGCGACGAUCAGUAGGGGUUCUGAGAGGAAGGUCCCCCACAUUGGAACUGAGACACGGUCCAAACUCCUACGGGAGGCAGCA